rnacentral:rRNA from 1 species
UACGGAGGAUGCGAGCGUUAUCCGGAUUCAUUGGGUUUAAAGGGUGCGCAGGCGGCGUGCCGAGUCAGCGGUCAAAUCCACGGGCUCAACCCGUGGCCGCCGUUGAUACUGGCAUGCUUGAGUGGGUGCGACGUGCGCGGAAUGCGUGGUGUAGCGGUGAAAUGCAUAGAUAUCACGCAGAACCCCGAUUGCGAAGGCAGCGCCCGAGCACUUUACUGACGCUGAGGCACGAAAGCGUGGGUAUCGAACA